UAGGCUUGAGAAUGUUUAAUGAGAGAGUGUGGUUUCACAAAUAAUGCAUCCCCCAAUAGUCAAAAGUGACUUUGAAUUUUAUGGGUGAACCCCAACAUGAGAUCAAAUAUUAUAAAAGAAGACAGUGGAGAUUUCCUAGACGCAGAGGUGGCAUUCUGUAGCAUGCUGAUCUUGGCUCUGGGAGUUUGGAAGAUUCCUUUCAAGAAAAUAGGUUCUCUGGCUCAGAACAAGAUCUGAGCCAGCAAUUUUAAAGGGCAUGUUGUGAAAAGAAAGGAGGCUCCUCAGAAUUGAAAUUUAGGCUCAAGGAUGCAAUUGCCAAUCUGGCUUGGCCAUUUGUUACCAGGCUCAGUGGGAAUGUUUUAAGGAUAUGGAUGAGAAAAAGGAGAUGCUAAGGGAACAGAAAGAAGAUACCAGAUGGAGAACGAGGAACCUGGGAUUCAGUGAAGUUUUAGCUGACUUCAAGUAUCUUUGGGAACACAUUUUUACAACAUUUCAACCUGAAGCCAGAGGCUCAGACAAGGAAAGACACCACUUCCUAGAGAUUAGGAAUCUUGAAGACAGUGCCGAGCCUGGCCUGAAGAAAAAACAAAGGUAUUUCUACCUUGCAGCCAGGCUUAAGAAGCACUUACUUAAACUGGUGAUUCUCAAAGUGUGGUUCCAGACCAGGAGCAUCUGCAUCACCUGGAUGGAAGAGAGACCAGAUGACCCCAAAAGACUAUUUUCUGCUCAGGACUCUAUUGCCUACAUCACGCAAGGCCGACUGUCAACAGUGGAGGAGAGCCAUCAUUUUGGUUUCCAGUUCCCAGGAACCAUCUGUGCUACUGCCAAAGCUGUGUUGCUGACAUGGGUUUUCAAGAUCAAGAGUGGCUCUGUCGACUUUCUUUUUUUCCCCCAAAGAUGAUUGAAUGUU
rnacentral:lncRNA from 1 species